UUAGAGUUUGAUCAUGGCUCAGGAUGAACGCUAGCUACAGGCUUAACACAUGCAAGUCGAGGGGCAGCAUUGGAGUAGCAAUACUUCAGAUGGCGACCGGCGCACGGGUGAGUAACACGUAUCCAACCUGCCGCUUACUCGGGGAUAGCCUUUCGAAAGAAAGAUUAAUACCCGAUGGUAUAAAGAGUUCGCAUGUUCUCUUUAUUAAAGAAUUUCGGUAAGCGAUGGGGAUGCGUUCCAUUAGAUUGUUGGCGGGGUAACGGCCCACCAAGUCUACGAUGGAUAGGGGUUCUGAGAGGAAGGUCCCCCACAUUGGAACUGAGACACGGUCCAAACUCCUACGGGAGGCAGCAGUGAGGAAUAUUGGUCAAUGGGCGCGAGCCUGAACCAGCCAAGUAGCGUGAAGGAUGACGGCCCUAUGGGUUGUAAACUUCUUUUAUAAGGGAAUAAAGUGAGGGACGUGUCCCUUUUUGUAUGUACCUUAUGAAUAAGGAUCGGCUAACUCCGUGCCAGCAGCCGCGGUAAUACA
rnacentral:rRNA from 1 species